rnacentral:rRNA from 1 species
GACGAACGCUGGCGGCGUGCUUAACACAUGCAAGUCGAACGGAAAGGCCCUGCUUUUGUGGGGUGCUCGAGUGGCGAACGGGCGAGUAACACGUGAGUAACCUGCCCUUGACUUUGGGAUAACUUCAGGAAACUGGGGCUAAUACCGGAUAGGAGCUCCUGCUGCAUGGUGGGGGUUGGAAAGUUUCGGCGGUUGGGGAUGGACUCGCGGCUUAUCAGCUUGUUGGUGGGGUAGUGGCUUACCAAGGCUUUGACGGGUAGCCGGCCUGAGAGGGUGACCGGCCACAUUGGGACUGAGAUACGGCCCAGACUCCUACGGGAGGCAGCAGUGGGGAAUAUUGCACAAUGGGCGGAAGCCUGAUGCAGCAACGCCGCGUGCGGGAUGACGGCCUUCGGGUUGUAAACCGCUUUCGCCUGUGACGAAACGUGAGUGACGGUAAUGGGUAAAGAAGCACCGGCUAACUACGUG